rnacentral:rRNA from 1 species
UGUACAUGGUCUUCUCAACUUCAAGUUCAUAACCGAUUCAGCUUAACUGUUUAUAAUCUAUUUUCCCUAUCACUUUUUAACUCUUGAAUUCGCCAGGCCAACCAUCCUACAGUAGUGUAGGAAUUCAGUUAGCACGUCAUAACAUGUUAUUCUCUUUCGAUAAUGCUUUUGUUGGAUUUUUUAGGAACAAGGUGGCGAAAAAAUAAGUUGUUGUGGAAGCAAUGGUUUGUUUGGGGAGGUGGAGAACGUUUUUAUGUUAUUUUUGCUAAGUCAGAACUCGGAGUCGGGACAACUCAACAAGGGAACGAGGAGCCUCAAGGGAGAUACCUGCAUAACACUGGAUGCAGUGAAGAAGGAAUCAGAAAUGUUCUUAUGUUUUAGUGGCGGAAUGGCAAGGCGUCCGGUUAGAUGACCUGGGUCCGUGGCGAGUUGGUGGCUCUCGACUACAAGAAGAUCAUUGAGGCAAUCGAUAGUAGAUUUCAACAAGAAUCUAUAAAGGGCUCUAAGGGAGUAGAGGAAUCAAAAGAAAACACCUGACAGUGCAAAGUGCACUUAGGCAGUAAGGUCAACACAAGACUACUCAUGAAACGCCUCCAUCAGGAGGCCAAAAUAUACACAUACGAACUCCCGGACAUUGCAUACCGGGGAGCUUUCUUCUAUUUAGGAUUUAAGGCUGAUAAUAUGCUCACGAAAAGACAGGAAUGCAGCACCACUCCAAUCUUUAGAAGGUCCCCACCCUGUUCUGGUAUGUUUAUGCUUAUGCAUCUACAGAAUUAUUCGAUGUUAUAUUGAUGUGUGAAUGGUGUAUCCCUGUUCUGGUAU